rnacentral:rRNA from 1 species
UAGGGAAUCUUCCACAAUGGACGCAAGUCUGAUGGAGCAACGCCGCGUGAGUGAAGAAGGUCUUCGGAUCGUAAAGCUCUGUUGUUGGUGAAGAAGGAUAGAGGCAGUAACUGGUCUUUAUUUGACGGUAAUCAACCAGAAAGUCACGGCUAACUACGUGCCAGCAGCCGCGGUAAUACGUAGGUGGCAAGCGUUGUCCGGAUUUAUUGGGCGUAAAGCGAGCGCAGGCGGAAUGAUAAGUCUGAUGUGAAAGCCCACGGCUCAACCGUGGAACUGCAUCGGAAACUGUCAUUCUUGAGUGCAGAAGAGGAGAGUGGAACUCCAUGUGUAGCGGUGGAAUGCGUAGAUAUAUGGAAGAACACCAGUGGCGAAGGCGGCUCUCUGGUCUGCAACUGACGCUGAGGCUCGAAAGCAUGGGUAGCGAACAGGAUUAGAUACCCUGGUAGUCCAUGCCGUAAACGAUGAGCGCUAGGUGUUGGGGACUUUCCGCCCUUCAGUGCUGCAGCUAACGCAUUAAGUAUUCCGCCUGGGGAGUACGACCGCAAGGUUGAAAC